GCUGGCGGCACGCCUAACACAUGCAAGUCGAACGAAGUAGCAAUACUUAGUGGCAGACGGGUGAGUAACAUGUAGGUAUCUGCCCUUUGGCCUGGAAUAACACGAGGAAACUUGUGCUAAUACCGGAUAAGUCUUAACGGAGAAAGCUUUAUGCACCAUUGGAUGAGCCUGCACUUGAUUAGUUUGUUGGUGGGGUAAUGGCCUACCAAGACUGUGAUCAAUAGCUGAUUUGAGAGGAUGAUCAGCCACAUUGGGACUGAGACACGGCCCAAACUCCUACGGGAGGCAGCAGUGGGGAAUCUUGCACAAUGGAG
rnacentral:rRNA from 1 species